ensembl:lncRNA novel transcript
GAGUUAUGUGGUAGAAAGUGGCAGGCUGGAGUUAUGCGGCUCACUUUCUAGCCAGAAGGAGGGAGACUGAAUGGAGGCACAUUGAAGAUGCCUGCUUCCUCUUCCACCGUGAUUGGACGUUUCCUGAGGCCUCCUCAGCCAUGUGAAACUGCUGGAAUAAGGAUGGGAUGCUGGUGAGUUAGCUUUGACAAUGCCGAAUAGAAAAACACUCUAAGGGAUCUGGAUGCUGGAUGAACUCACUGGAGCAUUACUGCCUGUUUGCCCUGUUUCUUCUCACCUGUCUCUUCCAAUGCUAAGCCAUAUGCAAGCCUCUUCUAAACUCAGGUUCCACUGGCUGAAAGAUGACAAAGGGAGGAUGUAGAGCAAUUCUGAAAAGCUGAGUAUUUUCUCCAACGAAACUACAUUAACCUGGAAGAGACUAGGUUAUAUUGAAUCUAAAAUGGUGGUGUUAUUCAUCCACUUCGUAUCAGAAAUGGAGGUCCCUGAUGAAAUUAUAGUCAGUACAAACAUACAGUUAGAUAGAAGGACAAGUUCUAGUAUUUGAUAGUUCACUAGGAAAAUUAUAGCUAACAACAAUUUCUGUAUGUUUCAAAAUAGCUAGAAGAGAAGAAUUACAAUGUUCCUAACAACAAAAAAGACAAAUAUUUGAGGUUAUGAAUAUCCCAAUUACUCUGAUUUGAUCAUUACACAGUGUAUACAUGUAUCAAAAUAUUACAUAUGCCACCAAGAUAUGUACAACUAUUAUAUGACAAUGAAAAUUUUUUAAAAAAAGUUAGUAUGGUGAGAAAGAUUUUCUGAAUAUCUGAUGUAGUUGUAGGCUCUAAACUAUAUUACCAUAAAAUAGAUAAUUUAUUGAAUUCAAAGACUACUCUUCUAGCAAUGUUUUGCUGGUUUUGAGACAAGGUCUUGCUCUGUUGCCCAGGCUGGAGUGCAGUGUGGUGCAAUCAUAGCUCACUUCAGUCUCAAAGUCCUGGGCUCAAGUAAUCUUCCUGCCACAGCCUCCUGAGAAGGUGCACACCACACCUGGCUGGUGCUGUGUUUCAAACAUGGGUAUAGAAGGCAAGGAGGCAAGACCUCUGCUCCAAAGGGAAUGCUAGUAAUAGAGAGAAUAAAGUGCAAAUGGGUAAUUGAUAUUCAUUUUGGAAAAUAUUCACUAUAAAAAUGUAAAUUCUUCUUAUGGUUUAGGAGGUUUAGAAGGUUUAGGAGGCACACAUAGGGAGAAAUCGAUUAAAUGCAGAAGAAUUAGAAAUGACUUUUGAAUCUAAUUACUUCAGGUACUUGCAACAAUAUUGCCAUUAGUUGGGAAAAUGAUGUUUAAAUCCUAGGUGCCAUCCUUUUAUUAGAGUGAUGUUCAAUGGAAGGAAGUUCAAAGACCCUCCACUUUUGGAGGCCACCUUGGAACUGCCUGGAAGAAAUAAUUUCUAUUGUGACUUUGAGAUUAACAUGCAUUUAAUUGUGUUAUGUUUGUUAGUAGCAAAUAAUUAUGGUUUAA